rnacentral:rRNA from 1 species
GAUGAACGCUGGCGGCGUGCCUAAUGCAUGCAAGUCGAGCGAAUUGACAGAGGUGCUUGCACCUCUCGAUUUUAGCGGCGGACGGGUGAGCAACACGUGGGUAACCUACCUAUAAGACUGGGAUAACUUCGGGAAACCGGAGCUAAUACCGGAUAAUAUUUAGCUUCGCAUGAAGCAAUAGUGAAAGACGGUUCUGCUGUUACUUAUAGAUGGACCUGCGGUGUAUUAGCUAGUUGGUGAGGUAACGGCUCACCAAGGUAACGAUACAUAGCCGACCUGAGAGGGUGAUCGGCCACACUGGGACUGAGACACGGCCCAGACUCCCACGGGAGGCAGCAGUAGGGAAUCUUCCGCAAUGGACGAAAGUCUGACGGAGCAACGCCGCGUGAGUGAAGAAGGUUUUCGGAUCGUAAAACCCUGUUGUAAGGGAAGAACAAGUACGUUAGUAACUGAACGUACCUUGACGGUACCUUACCAGAAAGCCACGGCUAACUACGUGCCAGCAGCCGCAGUAACAC